rnacentral:tRNA from 1 species
GUUCUUAUGGUUGAAGCUUACAACGAUGGCUUUUUCAGGGC